UCGUCAUAUUUUGGUAAUAUACAUGUCUUUACGCGGUAAUUUUGAGUUUUUAUUUUUAUUUUGUUUUUAGGUAUAGCAUUCUGAGAGCAUACAUAGGGUUCUAGGAACUGCCGGAACAAAGCUGCGAGUAUUUUUUGCAACAAUGUGCCUGCACAUGGUAUAUGUUUCAAAAGAAGGAGUCGUAUGUUUGCAUGGAAGGACAAUAUUCUAGAUUCACUCCGACUGACGAGGCCAAUAGACACUCGCUACAGCGUCUGCGGUGAUAUGAUGACAUAGCGGAAACUGCAGUUCUGGAGGAUGUUCAUUCCCUAAGUAAAUUUUUCAAUGCAGUGGAGUUCCAACUGGCAAACGCGAAACAUCGGUUUCAACCGACUUAUCAAAAGGAGGGUUUAGACUUCCGGUAUCAUCAUAUAUAGUGUUUGCGCAGAAGUUCAGCUGCAAUCAACUGCGAUUAUAUUUGUCGAAGGUUUCUAUUCACGCUAUUUCAUGGCCUUACCAAUCGGAUGGAUUCAAAUUACGUUCUGCCCUACUUUAUUUUUCUUCAGAACAUCUUAUUGAAAUUAUGCAAAUAGAAAACAAUAUGUUAUGAACCGAUGGAACAGGACGAAACAUUAUUGGAAAGGAUUUGGCGAGGUUCACGGUAGCGAUCCAGAACUUUCUUUUAUUUCUUUUUGUUUGACCUCUUCGACGAACUAAGCUUAUGCCAUCAAUAUACAGGAUCGAUUUUUUCAUGGUUUCUGGAUGCUGAAGGAUAUGAUGGACUAAGUAAUGAUUCGGAGAUUGUUGAUGUAUGAAAUAAUAUGAUAAUGUAAUAACAAUCAACGGGUUAUUUAAUAAAUAA